rnacentral:rRNA from 1 species
CCUACGGGGGGCUGCAGUGGGGAAUAUUGGACAAUGGGGGCAACCCUGAUCCAGCCAUGCCGCGUGUGUGAAGAAGGCCCUCGGGUUGUAAAGCACUUUCAGUGAGGAAGAACGCCUGGUGGUUAAUACCCAUCAGGAAAGACAUCACUCACAGAAGAAGCACCGGCUAACUCCGUGCCAGCAGCCGCGGUAAUACGGAGGGUGCGAGCGUUAAUCGGAAUUACUGGGCGUAAAGCGCGCGUAGGUGGCUUGAUAAGCCGGUUGUGAAAGCCCCGGGCUCAACCUGGGAACGGCAUCCGGAACUGUCAAGCUAGAGUGAAGGAGAGGAAGGUAGAAUUCCCGGUGUAGCGGUGAAAUGCGUAGAGAUCGGGAGGAAUACCAGUGGCGAAGGCGGCCUUCUGGACUGACACUGACCCUGAGGUGCGAAAGCGUGGGUAGCAAACAGGAUUAGAUACCCUUGUAGUC